GGGGGGAAAGACUCACGGCUGGGAAAAUAAGAAGAGACAACAUGAUUUUGCCAUUCUCCUUCCAUUGAAGAGCAUGACAGGAAUUCAACACACAGAAAACCAAUUAAAUAGAGAAGAAGAGAAAGAUUGAUUGAAGAAAGUCAUAUGGAUCGCUCGAGGUGACGAGUUUGAUAUUUCACACGAGUACUAGACAGCAGUUGACGCAAGGGAGAAUUUCGUUAAUUAGAG